rnacentral:rRNA from 1 species
CCUACGGGCGGCUGCAGUGGGGAAUAUUGCACAAUGGGCGCAAGCCUGAUGCAGCCAUGCCGCGUGUGUGAAGAAGGCCUUCGGGUUGUAAAGCACUUUCAGCGGGGAGGAAGGCGGUGAGGUUAAUAACCUCAUCGAUUGACGUUACCCGCAGAAGAAGCACCGGCUAACUCCGUGCCAGCAGCCGCGGUAAUACGGAGGGUGCAAGCGUUAAUCGGAAUUACUGGGCGUAAAGCGCACGCAGGCGGUCUGUCAAGUCGGAUGUGAAAUCCCCGGGCUCAACCUGGGAACUGCAUUCGAAACUGGCAGGCUAGAGUCUUGUAGAGGGGGGUAGAGUUCCAGGUGUAGCGGUGAAAUGCGUAGAGAUCUGGAGGAAUACCGGUGGCGAAGGCGGCCCCCUGGACAAAGACUGACGCUCAGGUGCGAAAGCGUGGGGAGCAAACAGGAUUAGAUACCCGUGUAGUC